GAUGAACGCUAGCGGCAGGCUUAAUACAUGCAAGUCGAGGGGCAGCAUGAAUGUAGCAAUACAUUUGAUGGCGACCGGCAAACGGGUGCGGAACACGUACACAACCUUCCUAUAAGUGGGGAAUAGCCCAGAGAAAUUUGGAUUAAUACCCCGUAACAUAAUGAUGUGGCAUCACAUUAUUAUUAUAGCUUCGGCGCUUAUUGAUGGGUGUGCGGCUGAUUAGAUAGUUGGCGGGGUAACGGCCCACCAAGUCUACGAUCAGUAGCGGAUGUGAGAGCAUGAUCAGCCACACGGGCACUGAGACACGGGCCCGACUCCUACGGGAGGCAGCAGUAAGGAAUAUUGGUCAAUGGACGCAAGUCUGAACCAGCCAUGCCGCGUGAAGGAUUAAGGUCCUCUGGAUUGUAAACUUCUUUUAUCUGGGACGAAAAAAGGCUAUUCUUAGUCACUUGACGGUACCAGAUGAAUAAGCACCGGCUAACUCCGUGCCAGCCGCCGCCGUAACAC
rnacentral:rRNA from 1 species